CAACCCUGUGCCCUCAUCGUGUUCUUUCUCUCCUUCCUGGUCAGUGGGAAGGUGGCCCCGUGAGACCCAGGAGAGGGUCCUUGAAUAGCACUCUAUCCCUGACCCUGGAGCCACAUCCCAUGCAGUUUGCUGUCCUGCCCGAGUCCUUGCCGUGACAACAGCUCCAGGUGACCUCUGCUGACCACUUAUGCUAUCACCAGGGCUGCCUCAGGAUGACCGUCCCUGCCGGUCGCGGGGAGAAUGUGCCCGGCUCUCCACACAGCGCUUCUCAAAUCCACUAAAAUCAACACAAUAAUUGAAAUAUUUUCAAGCUGAUUACACCGCAGCCCGAGGCUAGCCUGGUUGCUAAGGGUGAGCUCCGCGGUUGCUAGGGGGAGUAAAUCAUCUUGCAUUAUUUGAUUUUUGUUAUAGAUAUGAAACCGCUACUCCCGCGAUUAAAUGUCUCUCAGCCUAACACCUAUGGGACCUGGGGAGAGAGGAGAGAGGGGCUCCAACCUUGACCCUGUCAAAUAAAUAUCUCUAACUUUUCCUGUCCUCGGGCUUCCCAG
rnacentral:lncRNA from 1 species